GAUGAAGAACGUAGUGAAAUGCGAUAAGUAAUGUGAAUUGCAGAAUUCAGUGAAUCAUCGAAUCUUUGAACGCACAUUGCGCCCUCUGGUAUUCCGGGGGGCAUGCCUGUUCGAGCGUCAUUACAACCCUCAAGCUUUGCUUGGUAUUGGACAUUGCCAGUUUCUGGCAGGUCUUAAAAUCAGUGGCGGUGCCAUUUGGCUUCAAGCGUAGUAAUUCUUCUCGCUUUGGAGAUCCAAGUGGUUACUUGCCAAUAACCCCCAAUUUUUUCAGGUUGACCUCGGACCAGGUAGGGAUACCCGCUGAACUUAAGCAUAUCAAUAAGCGGAGGA
rnacentral:misc_RNA from 1 species